CAGCCGCCGCGGUAAUACGUAGGUGGCAAGCGUUGUCCGGAAUUAUUGGGCGUAAAGGGCUCGCAGGCGGUUUCUUAAGUCUGAUGUGAAAGCCCCCGGCUCAACCGGGGAGGGUCAUUGGAAACUGGGAAACUUGAGUGCAGAAGAGGAGAGUGGAAUUCCACGUGUAGCGGUGAAAUGCGUAGAGAUGUGGAGGAACACCAGUGGCGAAGGCGACUCUCUGGUCUGUAACUGACGCUGAGGAGCGAAAGCGCGGGGAGCGAACAGGAUUAGAUACCCCCGUAGUCCCUGUCUCUUAUAC
rnacentral:rRNA from 1 species